rnacentral:rRNA from 1 species
GACGAACGCUGGCGGCGUGCUUAACACAUGCAAGUCGAACGGUAAGGCUCCAGCUUGCUGGGGUACACGAGUGGCGAACGGGUGAGUAACACGUGGGUGACCUGCCCUGCACUUCGGGAUAAGCCUGGGAAACUGGGUCUAAUACCGGAUAGGACCGCACCGUGAGGGUGUGGUGGAAAGUUUUUUCGGUGUGGGAUGGGCCCGCGGCCUAUCAGCUUGUUGGUGGGGUAAUGGCCUACCAAGGCGGCGACGGGUAGCCGGCCUGAGAGGGUGGACGGCCACAUUGGGACUGAGACACGGCCCAGACUCCUACGGGAGGCAGCAGUGGGGAAUAUUGCACAAUGGGCGGAAGCCUGAUGCAGCGACGCCGCGUGGGGGAUGACGGCCUUCGGGUUGUAAACUCCUUUCACCAUCGACGAAGGGUUUCUGACGGUAGAUGGAGAAGAAGCACCGGCUAACUACGUGCCAGCAGCCGCGGUAAUACGUAGGGUGCGAGCGUUGUCCGGAAUUACUGGGCGUAAAGAGCUCGUAGGUGGUUUGUCGCGUCGUCUGUGAAAUUCCGGGGCUUAACUCCGGGCGUGCAGGCGAUACGGGCAUAACUUGAGUACUGUAGGGGAGACUGGAAUUCCUGGUGUAGCGGUGAAAUGCGCAGAUAUCAGGAGGAACACCGGUGGCGAAGGCGGGUCUCUGGGCAGUAACUGACGCUGAGGAGCGAAAGCAUGGGGAGCGAACAGGAUUAGAUACCCUGGUAGUCCAUGCCGUAAACGGUGGGCGCUAGGUGUGGGUUUCCUUCCACGGGAUCCGUGCCGUAGCUAACGCAUUAAGCGCCCCGCCUGGGGAGUACGGCCGCAAGGCUAAAACUCAAAGGAAUUGACGGGGGCCCGCACAAGCGGCGGAGCAUGUGGAUUAAUUCGAUGCAACGCGAAGAACCUUACCUGGGCUUGACAUAUACAGGAUCGCGCCAGAGAUGGUGUUUCCCUUGUGGCUUGUAUACAGGUGGUGCAUGGUUGUCGUCAGCUCGUGUCGUGAGAUGUUGGGUUAAGUCCCGCAACGAGCGCAACCCUUGUCUUAUGUUGCCAGCACGUUGUGGUGGGGACUCGUAAGAAACUGCCGGGGUUAACUCGGAGGAAGGUGGGGAUGACGUCAAAUCAUCAUGCCCCUUAUGUCCAGGGCUCCACACAUGCUACAAUGGUCGGUACAGUGGGUUGCCAGUCCGUGAGGGCGAGCUAAUCCCGCAAAGCCGGUCUCAGUUCGGAUCGGGGUCUGCAACUCGACCCCGUGAAGUCGGAGUCGCUAGUAAUCGCAGAUCAGCAACGCUGCGGUGAAUACGUUCCCGGGCCU